rnacentral:rRNA from 1 species
AUCGAACGCUGGCGGCAGGCCUAACACAUGCAAGUCGAACGAGUGGCGGACGGGUGAGUAAUGUCUGGGAAACUGCCUGAUGGAGGGGGAUAACUACUGGAAACGGUAGCUAAUACCGCAUACCAUCGGAUGUGCCCAGAGGGGAUUAGCUAGUAGGUGGGGUAACGGCUCACAUAGGCGACGAUGCCUAGCUGGUCUGAGAGGAUGACCAGCCACACUGGAACUGAGACACGGUCCAGACUCCUACGGGAGGUAGCAGUGGGGAAUAUUGCGCAAGGGGCGCAAGCCUGAUGCAGCCAUGCCGCGUGUGUGAAGAAGGCCUUCGGGUUGUAAAGUACUUUCAGCGAGGAGGCGUGACUCGCAGAAGAAGCACCGGCUAACUCCGUGCCAGCAGCCGCGGUAAUAC